GAUGAACGCUGGCGGCGUGCCUAAUACAUGCCAGUCGAGCGAACGGACGAUAAGCUUUCUUCUCUGAUGUUAGCGGCGGACGGGUGAGUAACACGUGGAUAACCUACCUAUAAGACUGGGAUAACUUCGGGAGACCGGAGCUAAUACCGGAUGAUAUUUUGAACCGCAUGGUUCAAAAGUGAAAGACGGUCUUGCUGUCACUUAUAGAUGGAUCCGCGCUGCAUUAGCUAGUUGGUAAGGUAACGGCUUACCAAGGCAACGAUGCAUAGCCGACCUGAGAGGGUGAUCGGCCACACUGGAACUGAGACACGGUCCAGACUCCUACGGGAGGCAGCAGUAGGGAAUCUUCCGCAAUGGGCGGAAGCCUGACGGAGCAACGCCGCGGGAGGGAUGGAGGUCUUCGGAUCGUAAAACUCUGUUAUUAGGGAAGAACAUAUGUGUAAGUAACUGUGCACAUCUUGACGGUACCUAAUCAGAAAGCCACGGCUAACUACGUG
rnacentral:rRNA from 1 species